UCAAGACUGGCCUCGUUUGGCAAGGUCGGCCAUGUUUGUAAACAUAAGAAAACGGAGAUCGUGAGACUCGGAACCUUUUUGGAGCGUUCUGAGAAAGAUUCUUGGCCGGGAAAGGCAGGUGGGGCUGUUUGAAGACGUUUACUAAGAUUCCCCAAAAUCGUUCGCAGCUGUCGCUUCUCCCGGAGAUCGCAUCGCAACGGCAGCGGAGAAGAAUCGGCAAUCAGCGUCAGCACCAUGGAUAAGGCCGUUUCUAGCCGUACAAAUGCCAGAAUUGUGAAUGUUCCUGAAGAAGUUUUAAAACCGUGCUGGGGGAAGUGACAAAAGUGAUCAUCAGAACCGGCUAGCCGCUGCUGAAGGAUUUGUAGG